GGGGCCCGGGGGGCUGCUAAUACAUGCAGUCGAGCGGACAGAUGGGAGCUUGCUCCCUGAUGUUAGCGGCGGACGGGUGAGUAACACGUGGGUAACCUGCCUGUAAGACUGGGAUAACUCCGGGAAACCGGGGCUAAUACCGGAUGGUUGUUUGAACCGCAUGGUUCAGACAUAAAAGGUGGCUUCGGCUACCACUUACAGAUGGACCCGCGGCGCAUUAGCUAGUUGGUGAGGUAACGGCUCACCAAGGCGACGAUGCGUAGCCGACCUGAGAGGGUGAUCGGCCACACUGGGACUGAGACACGGCCCAGACUCCUACGGGAGGCAGCAGUAGGGAAUCUUCCGCAAUGGACGAAAGUCUGACGGAGCAACGCCGCGUGAGUGAUGAAGGUUUUCGGAUCGUAAAGCUCUGUUGUUAGGGAAGAACAAGUGCCGUUCAAAUAGGGCGGCACCUUGACGGUACCUAACCAGAAAGCCACGGCUAACUACGUGCCAGCAGCCGCGGUAAUACGUAGGUGGCAAGCGUUGUCCGGAAUUAUUGGGCGUAAAGGGCUCGCAGGCGGUUUCUUAAGUCUGAUGUGAAAGCCCCCGGCUCAACCGGGGAGGGUCAUUGGAAACUGGGGAACUUGAGUGCAGAAGAGGAGAGUGGAAUUCCACGUGUAGCGGUGAAAUGCGUAGAGAUGUGGAGGAACACCAGUGGCGAAGGCGACUCUCUGGUCUGUAACUGACGCUGAGGAGCGAAAGCGUGGGGGAGCGAACAGGAUUUAGAUACCCUGGGUAGUCCACGCCGUAAACGAUGGAGUGCUAAGUGUUAGGGGGUUUCCGCCCCUUAGUGCUGCAGCUAACGCAUUAAGCACUCCGCCUGGGGGAGUACGGUUGCAAGACUGAAACUCAAAGGAAUUGAUGGGGGCCCCGCCACAAGGGCAGAGUGACAGGUGGUGCAUGGUUGUCGUCAGCUCGUGUCGUGAGAUGUUGGGUUAAGUCCCGCAACGAGCGCAACCCUUGAUCUUAGUUGCCAGCAUUCAGUUGGGCACUCUAAGGUGACUGCCGGUGACAAACCGGAGGAAGGUGGGGAUGACGUCAAAUCAUCAUGCCCCUUAUGACCUGGGCUACACACGUGCUACAAUGGGCAGAACAAAGGGCAGCGAAACCGCGAGGUUAAGCCAAUCCCACAAAUCUGUUCUCAGUUCGGAUCGCAGUCUGCAACUCGACUGCGUGAAGCUGGAAUCGCUAGUAAUCGCGGAUCAGCAUGCCGCGGUGAAUACGUUCCCGGGCCUUGUACACACCGCCCGUCACACCACGAGAGUUUGUAACACCCGAAGUCGGUGAGGUAACCUUUAUGGAGCCAGCCGCCGAAGGUGGGACAGAUGAUUGGGGUGAAGUCGUAACAAAGUUGCUUAGGG
rnacentral:rRNA from 2 species